GGAUGUAGCUCAGUGGUAGAGUGCUUGCCUAACAUGCACAGGCACUGGGUUAGAUCCCCAGUAUUACA
rnacentral:tRNA from 1 species